GACGAACGCUGGCGGCGUGCUUAACACAUGCAAGUCGAACGGAAAGGCCCUGCUUUUGUGGGGUGCUCAAGUGGCGAACGGGUGAGUAACACGUGAGUAACCUGCCCUUGACUUUGGGAUAACUUCAGGAAACUGGGGCUAAUACCGGAUAGGAGCUCCUGCUGCAUGGUGGGGGUUGGAAAGUUUCGGCGGUUGGGGAUGGACUCGCGGCUUAUCAGCUUGUUGGUGGGGUAGUGGCUUACCAAGGCUUUGACGGGUAGCCGGCCUGAGAGGGUGACCGGCCACAAUGGGACUGAGAGACGGCCCAGACUCCUACGGGAGGCAGCAGUGGGGAAUAUUGCACAAUGGGCGGAAGCCUGAUGCAGCAACGCCGCGUGCGGGAUGACGGCCUUCGGGUUGUAAACCGCUUUCGCCUGUGACGAAGCGGGAGUGACGGUAAUGGGUAAAGAAGCACCGGCUAACUACGUG
rnacentral:rRNA from 1 species